CCUUAGUAAUGGCGAAUGAACAGGGAUGCGCUCGGAUUGGGAAUCGUGGCCUUCGGCUUUGACUUGUAGUCUGUAGUUGCAAAGCUAACAGAGGCGCAGGCGAAAAUCUGUUGGAAUAUUGGGCAUAGAGGGUGAGAGUCCCGUCCGCCAUGCGCAGUCCUCCGUGUACAGCUUGUGCCAAAGAGUCGCGCUCCUCGGGAGUGGAGUGCAAAGCGGGUGGUAAAUUUCAUCCGAAGCUAAAUACAUGUUCGAGAUCGACAGUGGACAAGUACCAUGAGGGAAAGGUGAAAAGGACUUUGAAAAGAGAGCUAAAAGGACAUGAAUUCGCUGAAAGGGAAGCGAAUGGGACUAGACGCGUUGGGCGAGAUUGCAGCCAUGUUUGCGAGGCCCUGCCGUUUUGGUACAAACACUGCGGCGGGUUGCGAGCAAUGAUUCGUUGUGUCUCUCGUUCAGCAUGCGACCCGUAGCGCAUCUUUGAAGACAACGUGUGUGUGCGGAAUCCUUCCCUGGCGGGUGUGCACGCUGGUACGAAAUCCAUCGAUACGCUGCUUGGUUGCGACUUAGUUUCCUUCGACCCGUCUUGAAACACGGACCAAGGAGUCUAACACGUGUGCGAGUCUGGGGGGCCACACCCAGGAGCGAAACGAAAGUGAGAGCCGGGACUUCGCCGCACCGGCAACCGACUGACCAAUUGUGGGAGGUUUGAGUAUGAGCACACAUGCUAGGACCCGAAAGAUGGUGAACUAUGCCUGUGAAGAGUAAACUCAGGGGAAACUCUGAUGGAGGCUCGUAGCGAUACUGACGUGCAAAUCGUUCGUCAAACAUGGGUAUAGGGGCGAAAGACUAAUCGAACCAUCUAGUAGCUGGUUUCCUCCGAAGUUUCCCUCAGGAUAGCUGGAGUUGAACAGUUGUUUCAGGUAAAGCGAAUGAUUAGAGGAAUCGGGGGCGCGUAGCCCUCGACCUAUUCUCAAACUUUAAAUGGGUACGAGCCAAUGGUUGCUUAGGUGAACUUUUGGGAGAAAUGACGACUCUAAGUGGGCCACUUUUGGUAAGCAGAACUGGCGAUGAGGGAUGAACCUAUCGUUGGGUUAAGGCGCUGAACUGCCCGCUCAUUCGAUACCACAAAGGGUGUUGGUUCAUUUUAACAGCAGGACGGUGGUCAUGGAAGUCGAAAUCCGCUAAGGAGUGUGUAACAACUCACCUGCCGAAUGGACUAGCCCCGAAAAUGGAUGGCGCUCAAGCGUGUGGCCAAUACCCGACCAUCGUUGCAGUGCUGUAGCAUCGACGAGUAGGAGGGCGUGGGGGUU
rnacentral:rRNA from 1 species